GAGGGGCGGCUUCUAACACAGGGUAUACGAUCACUGCUUCGUCAAUCAGGGAUACCAGUAUGCCAAUCUGAGUUAGGUCAUGGACAGUUUAUUCUACCAGUAACAUGUACGACUUUGAGUUUAGAUGGGUGUUUUUUGCCGCUGGACUGGGCAUACUGCUGGCAGGUGUGACGCAAGGUCAGCUUAUGUGUUACACGUGCGAGACAACAGAGAGGGACAGUAUCUGUGCUGUUAACGCGACAUUGAUCAACGCCACGGAGUGUAGCAGUGACCAGCCAUACUGCACGACUGUCUCCAAAGACAGUAUAAGCCUGGUGCCGUUCUACAGCCUUGUCCGGGCCUGCUCUGACAGAUGCAUUCACGAUGGCUGCGGGAUUUUUGAUGAGGAAGAAGAGGAGCAUAUGCUGUGUAGAACGUGCUGCCAAGAGGAUUAUUGUAACACAGGCAGCCACGCCCCUAAGAUACAGACAUCUUUUAUUUUUCUGGUUUUCUUAUGCGUUAUUCCAACGCUUAAGCGUAUGUGGGACUCUGGUAUAUUCUGACGAUAGCCUCGGGAGCUUAUUCUCACCAUCUAUUUGUGUAGAUGGUGAUUGUUGAAAUGAAUCCAUGAAUAAUGCAUGCAACUGAAACGAUGAUUUUGGAAGAAUUAACUUGUCUUUGAUUACAAAGACAACAACUGAUAGGAAUAUCUUGCCAAGUACACGUAAGUCAGGUCCAAAUGCCGUCGUAUUACCGUCUAGAUAUAUACAUGUAUUUUGAAUUUUACAGGUGUUCUACAAUAAAAUGUAUAACUUUCCC